GCAAAAGACUAGAGAUGAUUAGGUUAGGCCUGAGCUCGAGCUGUGGCUCUGCAGCUAGUCGUAGCAUCCCGGAUGAUUUAGAAUCUUGUCACCUUUGUGUUUUCAUCAGCAAGCCCAGGGCAUAUGCUGAUGCUUCAGCCAGUGCCACACUUAGGGUGGAUUUAUAAUAUAAUGCCGCCAUUGUAAUAUAGCCUAGCUCUGUAGCACAUUAGCCCACCUAGAUUUGUUGAACUUACACCAUUUCUACAACAAAAUCAACUAACAUGAUGGCACACGUCUUUAAUCCCACCACUUAGGAGGCAGAAGCAGGUGGAACUCCGUGAGUUCGAGGCCAGCCUGGUCUACAGAGCUGGUGACAGUUCAUGUUUGCUUCAUAAAUGAAGCAGCUUUAAACCAAUUCCUAUUCUGUCUCAAGUGACAGCCCUCAUCUUUACCUGUUCUUGCUACCCAUGACCUUGUAUGGAUGAUUCAGAAGUUGUAGCAGAGUGUUCAGCUGGGCAACUGGCACUGCAUUUAUCAUCUACAAAGAAGAAUUCACAAGCAGCAGGACUCUGGAGGUUUUGCAAAUGAUGAUGGGGAAGAGAACACGUGUCUUGUCCACUCUCGACAUUUGCAAGGCUUGGGAAAUGUCUAAGUGCUGACACCCACACAGCUAUGUUCUUCAGUUACAACCUGCACUCUCUAGUUAAUUCUGGUCUCUGCAAGUAGAUCUCAGCCUGGAUAGUGGGGUGGGGGGAUUUUUUCUUUUUACACAAAGGGAUGUAAAGAGCAGUUUUAAAAACAAUAACUCCAUAGCAUACAGCCACUGUAUGGAGUUGAAAGCCACGGGGAUCUUUUUUUUUCUUUUGAUCAGGCAGAUCUGCUCUGUAGUUAAUGGUUAAUAAGAGGAGCCUAAGCUUCGGCUCAUCCUGACAUAAACCACGUGCACCAUAUCCCACCAGGAAAAUGGACAUAGUUGGCUGGUUCUAGCCAUGCAGCAGAACCAGUGCUGAACUGAAGUAUGAUGCCAUGGUAUACAGAAAACUCUCCAGUGCAGUCAUUGCAGCAGACACUGUCAACAUGGACCAGUGGAAGAACAUGCCAAGAAAGAUAUCUGGCCCCUAGUGAAGCCGGUCCUUUCCCUUGACCAUCACUCUAGAGUGUGUAAAUCAUGUUUGCAAAAAUAUAAUGUGACAUGUUUAUGUUUUGAAACUAUUACAGAGCUAUGAAAACAGUCUUGGGAGGAAAUGCUGAAUGUGUAAGGGCCCCACUCUUUAAAAAUUUCAUGGGAGAGAAUAAAAAUCAAUGAUGGUGUGUAGUACCUAAGGUUAGGAAUGUACACUUUAUGCUAAUAUGGGUGGUGCAAACUAAGUAACUCAGAUUGUACAAGAAUUGGAGGAAUCAGAAAAACAUUAGUUAUUUACAGUGUAACCAUUAUCUCUUUAAAGUAGCCAUUUAUUUAAAAUCAGACACUCUAUAUUCAUUAAGGUUUAUGAAAUGAAAUAAAAAGAGAGCUUUAUGUAGCUAUGCAUGUCAGUUUGCUAUUUAAAAUGUGUGACAGCAUUUCUCAUAUUAGACAGAAAUUGGCAGUAAUUCCACAAUGAACCUUGUGCUUUGAAAAAUCAGAACUUACAAGAUGUGUUGUGGAUUCCCCUGAUCCUUUUCUUUUCUUUCAGUCAUGAAAACAAUUGGUUAAAAUCAAAGAAUGACUUUUCUUCUGAUUUUAUUUUGGUGAAGGUUCUUUUCACCUACCAUAGACAUAUGCAAAAUUUAAAGCUUUUUAUUCUAGCUUAAUCCUUGUAAUAAUUUUAUUUGCCCUGUGCUAAAACCUUAAGACAACCAUUUUCAGUGUAAUGAUGCAAACAUGCAUGGAUACUGCUAACUUCCAUUCUGUCCUGAAAGUGCAUGAAAACGUCUAGCUUACAUUCCAAGCUAGUCCAAACACAACUCCAGUACAUGGCCGCUGCUCUUCUUUAUACCAAAGAGUUCAGAUGGUUUCUAUAGUUCCUUAUCUAAAGCUCCAAGGUUUCUCCAAUGCUAUCAUUUCUGCAAGAUGAAGCUAAGCGCAUUGAGACACUGCAUUUACUUACUUGCUCAAGCCCUCAGAUAUCCCAGGAUGCAACCUGUUAGUAAUAAACUAGAAAUGAGAUUAGUUAGUGAAAGGGCCUAUUUUGUUGUUUGGCAUUGAUUGUUUUGAGAAUAAUAAUAGGUGUAGGGUAGCACAAAUCAUAGGUGUAUGUAGAGAGGCUGCUGUUAUUUCUCAGUUUUGUGGCUUGAUUUAUUUCUCUGCCGUUUCAUUUUGCUCAAGCUUAUGACAAUGCUGUUUGCCGAGCUUGAGAGGACAAAAAAUAUACAUAGGUUCUUAAAGCUAUCAGUUGGAUUUUAACAUGCAAAAACAUGGUCUUAAUCAAUAGUGCUGAAUAAAUAAAUUUAACAGGUUAUAAAGUCUGAUAUGGUAUAAUGUGGAAGAUAUGUUCUGCCUAUUAAGUAUGUUGGUUCAUUGAGAUUUAUGUGGAUUGCCAAUUUUUUAAAAAAUACUAAAGUUCAAUAAAAUGCAUGAACAAUAGGAAAAUGCUGGACAUUAUUUUGAAUGCUAGCUGCUUGGACAUUAACUAUGGCAUAUCUGCUUUCACAUAUAAAAAUAUGUAUCUUUGCAUAUUUUAUUCCGUGUAUGUUCUGAAUAUUUUUCUUAAAUUAUAAAAACCCAACCAAGAAGAUAAAGUGUAAAAUCACCUCUUAAAUUGGCAUUUUCUGAGAGUUCUCUUUUGUAAUGUUUAAAAUUUGCUUUUUAAUGAAAAUUAAGAAAUCUGCAGAUUGUGAACUGUAUUGAAAGUUUUGUACCUCCUCAGGAGAAAUCAAGCCUUUAACAAUAUUAUGUGUGUGAUCAGUGGAUCAUGCUAGAGCAGUCCUGGGUUAUGUAUUGUUAUCUUACAUGCUUAACACACUGCCACAUUGUAAUUAAUCAGAGAAAAAAGAAUUUUUCCAUACAAUUAUUGAAAAAGAACUGCAUUACAAAAAAGUAUUGAGAAAAAGUGAAAACAUGUAAAAGUAUGUAUCCACAGUGAAGUGUGUGCUUUAAUUAAGAAAUGAACACAUUUCAGUAAGCUUUCAUGUGCUUUGAAAAAACAGUGUGGCAUAGUUUGGUUCUUUAACUCAAUCAAAGUAAUAAAUGAACAGAAAAAUCCAUCCUGGAAUCGUGAUGAUUUCUACUGUAGUUUUUGAUUUCAUGAUUUAAUUCUAAUAUGGAAUUUUAGCUAUCCUAUACACAUUCUUGAAGAAAUAUAUUUUUCAAAUUAGGCAGUUAGGUUUAGUUGAGUGACUAGUGAGAAAGACUGUCAGGGGGCUCUACUUGAACACUUGAUAUAAGUCACCUCCUUCUUUGGAUCUUAGUUUUUUAUUCGUGUGUGGGUAUGCUCUGAGGUCAUUCUUCAGGAGUGAGCCCUUAUGUCACACGAUUAACAAAACAGAGAAAACAGCAGAAACAAUUCUACAAAAAAACCCAGCUCUGGGCUUCUGCAUAAGCAUUUGGACCGGUAGAAGUCCUUUCUGUUUUAGUUUCUAAUGUAAAUAGGGUCCACUAGUAAAAGUGAAAUUCAGUCUUAAGUAGGGUGAAUUGGAUAACCAUUUACACAUGAGAUGGCUUUUAUCUUUGCUUAAAUGAAUGUUUGGGAUCACUUCUGAGGAAUGAAAACCAGUAGUGAAUUUUCAUCAGGAAGAGAUACAAGAUGUGUGUAACAUUUGGAAAUGUGUCUGAGUAUGAAUGUAAAUGUUCGCAUUUUGUUGAAAGCUAAGAACAAAAAAAAUGUAGGGUGCUACUAAAGAUCUUGGAUGACAAGAGAUAUUUUUGAGCCAAUCUGUAAAAUGAUAAUUCAUAAGUUACAUUUAAAAUUGGAAAAGUAGGACAAGAAUUUUAAAGUAAGUUGGUUUAUCUUUGGAAUAAUAUUGUGAAAUUGGCUUUAAACGUCACCAUUCAGAUCAAAAAUUAUUUAUGGGAUCUGAUUACACAAUUUCUAUUACUGCCUUCCACUAACCAGUCUUAAAAUGCUUUUGUCAGAAUAAAAUUAGCGGUACCUCUUUCAUACCAGGUGUGGGUUUAGGAGUGAUCCAUACUAAGGUGGAUAUUUAUGAUCCUGGAAUGUUUGCUAAGUAUUGUAAAUGCACAACUGCCAUCUCCAAAUAUUUUCUUAUAUACUGUUUUUAGAAAAAGAAAGUUGUUUAAAGAAAAAAAAAACCAUGGUAUUUUCAUUUACUCAAUUUCUAGGGUAUAAGACUUCACUAAAUAAAACUUUCCAAUCAAAAUUCCUAUAGUCUUAUUCUCCAGUAGUCUAGGGAUUGGUUUGUGAUUAUUGUGUCCACCUGCCACUGUUUUUUUUUUUUAAGUCAAUAGACUUGAGAAGUAUUCAGACAUUUAGAUGGCUUCACAGAUAUAUUGCUAGUUCAGUCAUAGAUUGGAGUUUGCAUAUUGUAAUGUAAAUGUAUGUCAACACUAUUCUAAAUAGUUUAUGACUGAAGUUUAAUUAAAUAAAAGUUGUAAAAUGUGAUGUGUAUGUGUAUAUACUGUAUGUGUACUUUUUAAAAUAGGUAUAUGUCCUGACCCUUUUUAUACAAGGUUUGAAUUUGAAAUUACAUUAUAUAAACAUAUACUUUAUUGUUCUAAAUAAAGAAUUUUAUGCACC
ensembl:lncRNA